rnacentral:rRNA from 1 species
CCCUCCCUCUUUCUUCAGGCUUAACACAUGCAAGUCGAACGCACCUUUCGGGGUGAGUGGCCGACGGGUGAGUAACGCGUGGGAAUCUACCCUUCUCUACGGGAUAGCUCCGGGAAACUGGAAUUAAUACCGUAUACGUCCUGAGGGAGAAAGAUUUAUCGGGGAAGGAUGAGCCCGCGUUGGAUUAGCUAGUUGGUGGGGUAAAGGCCUACCAAGGCGACGAUCCAUAGCUGGUCUAAGAGGAUGAUCAGCCACAUUGGGACUGAGACACGGCCCAAACUCCUACGGGAGGCAGCAGUGGGGAAUAUUGGACAAUGGGCGCAAGCCUGAUCCAGCCAUGCCGCGUGAGUGAUGAAGGCCCUAGGGUUGUAAAGCUCUUUCAGGGGGGACGAUAAUGACGGUACCCACAGAAGAAGCCCCGGCUAACUUCGUG